CUAGCCGUAAACGAUGGAUGCUAGGCGUUGUGAGUAUCGACCCUCGCAGUGUCGUAGCUAGCGCGUUAAGUAUCCCGCCUGGGGAGUACGCGCGCAAGCGUGAAACUCAAAGGAAUUGACGGGGGCCCGCACAAGCGGUGGAGUAUGUGGUUUAAUUCGAUGCAACGCGAAGAACCUUACCAGGACUUGACAUGUCGCGAAUCUCAGGGAAACUUGAGAGUGCCUUCGGGAGCGCGAACACAGGUGGUGC
rnacentral:rRNA from 1 species